AGUGAAGUAGUUAAAUAAUAACAUUAAGUUGCAAAUUUAAUAUUAUACUAGAAGUAUCUUCACUU
rnacentral:tRNA from 1 species